rnacentral:rRNA from 1 species
GAUAAACGCUGGCGGCGUGCUUAACACAUGCAAGUCGAACGAAGUUUUUCCUUCGGGAGAAACUUAGUGGCGGACGGGUGAGUAACGCGUGGGUAGCCUGCCCUGUACAGGGGGACAACAGCUGUAAACGGCUGCUAAUACCGCAUAAGCCCUUAGCACUGCAUGGUGCAUAGGGAAAAGGAGCAAUCCGGUACAGGAUGGACCCGCGUCUGAUUAGCCAGUUGGCAGGGUAACGGCCUACCAAAGCGACGAUCAGUAGCCGAUCUGAGAGGAUGUACGGCCACAUUGGGACUGAGACACGGCCCAGACUCCUACGGGAGGCAGCAGUGGGGAAUAUUGCACAAUGGAGGAAACUCUGAUGCAGCGACGCCGCGUGAGUGAAGAAGUAUUUCGGUAUGUAAAGCUCUAUCAGCAGGGAAGAAAAUGACGGUACCUGACGAAGAAGCACCGGCUAAAUACGUG